rfam:Eutrema salsugineum unplaced genomic scaffold scaffold_14, whole genome shotgun sequence.
AUUAAAUGAUGCAAUUUAUGAAUAUAUCAUGAAUCUCUCCCAUGCUUCACCAAAACUCUCAUUGUUAUGUUGAGUGAAGCUGGAUAUUUGGUUUCUUACCUU